GCGGGGGUAGUUCAGCUGGUAGAACGUCUGCUUCCCAAGCAGAAGGUCGCGGGUUCGAUCCCCGUCUCCCGCUCCA
rnacentral:tRNA from 1 species